rnacentral:rRNA from 1 species
UACGUAGGGGCCGAGCGUUGUCCGGAGUUAUUGGGCGUAAAGCGCGUGUAGGCGGCCCGGUAAGUCCGCUGUGAAAGUCGGGGGCUCAACCCUCGAAUGCCGGUGGAUACUGUCGGGCUUGAGUACGGAAGAGGCGAGUGGAAUUCCUGGUGUAGCGGUGAAAUGCGCAGAUAUCAGGAGGAACACCAAUGGCGAAGGCAGGUCUCUGGGCCAUUACUGACACUGAGAAGCGAAAGCAUGGGGAGCGAACAGG